rnacentral:rRNA from 1 species
UUAAGAUACUAAGGGCAUACGGCGGAUGCCUUGGCGAUAUCUGCCGAAGAAGGACGCGACAAGCUGCGAAAAGCUGCGGAGAGGCGCAAAUAGCCAUUGAACCGCAGAUAUCCGAAUGGAGAAAUCCGGCAGGGCUCAUCCCCUGUCAUCCAUGCCAUAGAGCAUGAGAAGGUAAGCCGGUGAACUGAAACAUCUAAGUAGCCGGAGGAGAAGAAAUCAAACGAGAUACCCCAAGUAGCGGCGAGCGAACGGGGCAGAAGCCCAAACCGGAGAAGGAAACUUCACCGGGGUUGAGGACCGUCAGAGCUUAAGAGGAAGUUAGCCGAAACGCCUGGGAAGGCGUGCCGAAGACAGUGAGAGCCUGGUAGGCGAAAACGGAGACUUAGGAGACGGAAUCCAGAGUACCGCGGGACACGAGAAACCCCGUGGGAAGCAGGGGGGACCACCCUCCAAGGCAAAACACAGAUAUCGACCGAUAGCGCAUAGUACCGUGAGGGAAAGGUGAAAAGCACCCCGGGAGGGGAGUGAAAUAGAACCUGAAACCGUAUGUUUACAAGCAGUCGGAGACCGUAUAUAUACCAGGUCGACGGCGUGCCUAUUGAAGAAUGAACCAGCGAGUUACGAGGACCGGCAAGGUUAAGCAGGAAAUGCGGAGCCGAAGCGAAAGCGAGUCUUAAUAGGGCGAGAGUCGGAAUGCGUAGACCCGAAACCACAGUGAUCUACCCAUGUCCAGGCUGAAACACAGGUAAAAAUGUGCGGAGGGCCGAACCUAUAUCUGUUGAAAAAGGUUAGGAUGAGGUGUGGGUAGGGGUGAAAUUCCAAUCGAACGUGGAGAUAGCUGGUUCUCCCCGAAAUAGCUUUAGGGCUAGCCUCAGGUGGUGAUUACAGGCGGUAGAGCACUGAUCAGGAGAGGGACCUACCCGGUUACCAAACCCAGUCAAACUCCGAAUGGCUGUAAUCAAACCUGGGAGUCAGACCACGACUUAUAAGGGCCGUGGUCAAGAGGGAAACAGCCCAGAUCAUCAGCUAAGGUCCCAAAUGCCGUGCUAAGUGGCGAAGGAUGUGGCGUUUCAUAAACAACCAGGAUGUUGGCUCAGAAGCAGCCACCAUUCAAAGAGUGCGUAAUAGCUCACUGGUCGAGAGACGCUGCGCCGAAGAUGUCCGGGGCUAAAGUACGGAACCGAAGCUUUGGCAAUUAACAUUAGUUAAUUGGGUAGGGGAGCGUUCCUGCAUGGGAGAAGCCUGACCGGAAGGACAGGUGGACAGGCAGGAAGAGAGAAUGUCGGUAUGAGUAGCGAAAAGAAGGGUGAGAAUCCCUUCCACCGAAAGCCUAAGGGUUCCUGAGCAACGAUCGUCGUCUCAGGGUAAGUCGGGACCUAAGCCGAGGCAAAGACGCAUAGGCGAUGGAGAACAGGUUGAAAUUCCUGUACCGGAGCAGUCCGUCUGAGCGAUGGAGUGACGCAGCAGGGCACACGAGCAUGCGGCUGGAAGAGCAUGUCCAAGCCCGUAGCCCGUAUGGCAGGGAAAUCCGCCAUGCAAAAGGGUGAGAGGUGACGGGGAGUUAAAGGAAACUUUGACGAACUCGUGAAUCCCACACUGCCAAGAAAAGCUUCUAGCGAGGACUGAUCCGCCCGUACCGUAAACCGACACAGGUAGGCGGGGAGAGAAUCCUAAGGUGCGCGGGAAAACCCUCGUUAAGGAACUCGGCAAAUUGCAUCCGUAACUUCGGAAGAAGGAUGGCCCUGAGUAGGCGAAAAGUCAAGCACUUGGAACCGGAAAGGGCGGCAGAAAAGAGGCCCAAGCAACUGUUUACCAAAAACACAGGUGCCUGCGAAAGCGAAAGCUGACGUAUAGGUGCUGACGCCUGCCCGGUGCUGGAAGGUUAAGGAGAGAGGUUAGCGCAAGCGAAGCUUUGAACUGAAGCCCCAGUGAACGGCGGCCGUAACUAUAACGGUCCUAAGGUAGCGAAAUUCCUUGUCGGGUAAGUUCCGACCCGCACGAAAGG